UAUCCAGGCAAAUCCGGAUAAUCAAGGCUGAGGUGUGAUGACGAGGUACUACGGUGCUGAAGUAACAAAUGCCCUGCUUCCAGGAAAAGCCUCUAAGCAUCAGGUAACAUUAAAUCGUACCCCAAACCGACACAGGUGGUCAGGUAGAGAAUACCAAGGCGCUUGAGAGAACUCGGGUGAAGGAACUAGGCAAAAUGGUGCCGUAACUUCGGGAGAAGGCACGCUGGUGUGUAGGUGAAGUCCCUGCGGAUGGAGCUGAGACCAGUCGAAGAUACCAGCUGGCUGCAACUGUUUAUUAAAAACACAGCACUGUGCAAACACGAAA
rnacentral:rRNA from 1 species